UUCAGUUCUGCAUUUCAUCUAUGUGUGUUUUCUCCAGUCGUCAUAUAUUUGCGCUAAUUUGGACAAAUCUCCUCAGACAGUCGACACGCCAACUAUAAACGAGCACACUCCUGGGUGUCGGUGAUAUCACAGAUAUCCUCUCACACUCUCGUUAUAAUAUUCAUUGAGUAUUUAUCCUGUGUACACUUUGACGUACGGGACAUCAGGUUUUUGCACUUGUCUCCAUCAUUUGUUUUUACCUGCCUGUGCCAACAGUGCAGGCUGGCCUCCGAGGAUUACGCUCUGAUUGGUUGGAUCAUUUGCUGCCUAGCAGCCGAGCCUCACCAUUGGGAGAGCAGGAUGAAGCCGGCGUGGCAGCUGUAAUGGAGCACCGUCCCUUCCGCUGGCAGCCCGAUCGGCUUCGCCAUCACACGGCCGUUCUCCAGGGAAGUCCAGACCCGCGGGCACAGCAGCACUUUGAAAACAGAGGACAGGGAGGUGACAGAGACACAGUUAGAACAAAGGCCUCUGUAGCGGAUCCCCCCAUCCCUGGGAGGCCGGAUGAUGGCACAGCCUGAGGAAAAGAGAGGAGGAAGAAAAAUGAAGGACGGCCAGAGCGGAGAGGGAAAGCUCUGCCUCCAGAUAAUGUAGAUGCAUUACGGCAACAUGAUCUAUUGUCGGUUUAACCGAUGGCUUCCUCGCUGCGCAAAUUACAGCGCUUCAUUCAGGUCACUUAGGAAUCUCUGUGGAGUUUCUUCUGUCCAUUAAAGCAUAUUAUAAACACACACACAGAGCAAACACGCCGACACACUCCCGCACGUACUCAGUCACAAACACACACACACA